UACGUAGGGGGCGAGCGUUGUCCGGAGUUACUGGGCGUAAAGCGCACGCAGGCGGUCUGCUAAGUUUGGAGUGACAGUUGGUGGCUCAACCACCAAAGUGCUUUGAAAACUGACAGACUUGAGGGCUUCAGAGGGACACGGAAUUCCGGGUGGAGUGGUGAAAUGCGUAGAGAUCCGGAGGAACACCAGCGGCGAAGGCGGCAUCCUGGACUGGUCCUGACACUCAUGAGCGAAAGCGUGGGGAGCGAUCCGG
rnacentral:rRNA from 1 species